GACGGAGGAUGCAAGCGUUAUCCGGAAUGAUUGGGCGUAAAGCGUCCGCAGGUGGCAGUUCAAGUCUGCUGUCAAAGACCGGGGCUUAACUUCGGAAAGGCAGUGGAAACUGAACAGCUAGAGUAUGGUAGGGGCAGAGGGAAUUCCUGGUGUAGCGGUGAAAUGCGUAGAUAUCGUGAGGAACACCAGAGGCGAAGGCGGCUACCUGGACAAUUGCUGACACUCAGGCACGAAAGCGUGGGGAGCAAAAGGG
rnacentral:rRNA from 1 species